rnacentral:rRNA from 1 species
UACGUAGGGUCCGAGCUUUGUCCGGAAUUAUUGGGCGUAAAGAGCUCGUAGGCGGUUUGUCGCGUCUGCUGUGAAAUCCCGAGGCUCAACCUCGGGCCUGCAGUGGGUACGGGCAGACUGGAGUGCGGUAGGGGAGAAUGGAAUUCCUGGUGUAGCGGUGGAAUGCGCAGAUAUCAGGAGGAACACCGAUGGCGAAGGCAGUUCUCUGGGCCGUAACUGACGCUGAGGAGCGAAAGCGUGGGGAGCGAACAGG